AGUGAACGCUGGCGGCGUGCUUAACACAUGCAAGUCGAACGAGAACGGGUUAUAGUUUACUAUAACUGUCAGCUAAGUGGCGCACGGGUGAGUAAUAUAUAGGUAACGUGCCCUAGAGAAGAGGAUAACAAUUGGAAACGAUUGCUAAUACUCUAUAUGCCUUUAAGUCAAAAGACUGCAAGGGAAAUAUUUAUAGCUCUAGGAUCGGCCUGUACGGUAUCAGUUAGUUGGUGAGGUAAUGGCUCACCAAGACAAUGACGCCUAACUGGUUUGAGAGGAUGAUCAGUCUCACUGGAACUGAGACACGGUCCAG
rnacentral:rRNA from 1 species